rnacentral:rRNA from 1 species
UGAGAUAAGAGCUGAAAGCAUCUAAGCUCGAAGCCAACUCCAAGAUGAAUCUUCUUUUAAGAGCUCUAGUAGACUACUAGUUUGAUAGGCUGGGUGUGUAAUGGAUGAAAGUCCUUUAGCUGACCAGUACUAAUAGCUCGUUUGCUUAUCUUUAUAUAAGCAUCACUUC